GUUCCUGUAACGCAAUAAAUAGCGCAUUGGACAUAUAAUCCAAAGGUUGUGGGUUCGACUCCCACCUGGGAUG